rnacentral:rRNA from 1 species
GAUGAACGCUGGCGGCGUGCCUAAUACAUGCAAGUCGAGCGAACAGACGAGGAGCUUGCUCCUCUGACGUUAGCGGCGGACGGGUGAGUAACACGUGGAUAACCUACCUAUAAGACUGGGAUAACUUCGGGAAACCGGAGCUAAUACCGGAUAAUAUAUUGAACCGCAUGGUUCAAUAGUGAAAGACGGUUUUGCUGUCACUUAUAGAUGGAUCCGCGCCGCAUUAGCUAGUUGGUAAGGUAACGGCUUACCAAGGCAACGAUGCGUAGCCGACCUGAGAGGGUGAUCGGCCACACUGGAACUGAGACACGGUCCAGACUCCUACGGGAGGCAGCAGUAGGGAAUCUUCCGCAAUGGGCGAAAGCUUGACGGAGCAACGCCGCGUGAGUGAUGAAGGUCUUCGGAUCGUAAAACUCUGUUAUUAGGGAAGAACAAAUGUGUAAGUAAAUAUGCACGUCUUGACGGUAACUAAUCAGAAAGCCACGGCUAACUACGUG